GAUGAACGCUGGCGGCGUGCCUAAUACAUGCAAGUCGAGCGAACAGACGAGGAGCUUGCUCCUCUGACGUUAGCGGCGGACGGGUGAGUAACACGUGGCUAACCUACCUAUAAGAAUGGGAUAACUUCGGGAAACCGGAGCUAAUACCGGAUAAUAUAUUGAACCGCAUGGUUCAAUAGUGAAAGACGGUUUUGCUGUCACUUAUAGAUGGAUCCGCGCCGCAUUAGCUAGUUGGUAAGGUAACGGCUUACCAAGGCAACGAUGCGUAGCCGACCUGAGAGGGUGAUCGGCCACACUGGAACUGAGACACGGUCCAGACUCCUACGGGAGGCAGCAGUAGGGAAUCUUCCGCAAUGGGCGAAAGCCUGACGGAGCAACGCCGCGUGAGUGAUGAAGGUCUUCGGAUCGUAAAACUCUGUUAUUAGGGAAGAACAAAUGUGUAAGUAACUAUGCACGUCUUGACGGUACCUAAUCAGAAAGCCACGGCUAACUACGUG
rnacentral:rRNA from 1 species